rnacentral:lncRNA from 1 species
CAGUCCAUCUGAUAUGGACCACACGUACUAUCUUGCUCGGGGGGGGGAGACUGAGGCUACACGGGUGUUUGCCAUGCUCUCUUCAGGGGGGAGUACUGGUGAGACAUGCCUGAACACGUCAGUCACUCCCAGCAACGCCCUUCGACAAGAACUAGGGUUCCGUCACUUGUUGCCGGACCCCCGGAGAGUUCCACGAAUCCGGAAGGAGUGUCUACGUCAAGUACUCAAGGCAGCGCCUGGGAGUCGCCGAUUGGGACUACCAAGUCGCCGACUCCAGGGGUGAAUCGCUGACUCUAGGCCUCGUGGACAGUUCUGGUAGGCUUCCACUAGGCUCAUGGGGAGUCGGCGAUUGAACCUCUGGGUCGGCGAUUCCCACACCUGAAUCGCCGACUCCCAGCCGUUACUUGAGCGGACCCUCCCCAUUAAGGCAUUCCUUAAUAGGAUACCUUAAUGGGGUGGGUCCCACGCUAAUGAAUGGGGAAACGUCCCCAAGACCCUAUAAAAGGGGUCCUUAAUUGGGGGACCUCUCCCCUCAACUCAUUCACACUUGACACACCCCAACCAGAGUAAACUAAGGAGCCCGAAUCGCCUACUCCCAAGGGAGUCGCCGAUUCCCCUCCUCUUCUGCAGGUAUAUUGACGUAGAGCG